ensembl:lncRNA
UAGGUGAGGGUAGGAACGUAGAUUGACCGGUAGAUCGAGAGCUUUGCCUUCCGGCUCAGCCUUUUUUUUGUUACAACAGUGCGGUAAAGCAGAGUGCAAUACCGCCCCCGCUGUUCCGAUUCUUUGGCCAAACUCACACUCCAUCUUCCCCUCACUCGUGAACAAGUAGGAGUUGGAGGUCAUCCAAGACAGCCCCCCAACACCCAUUGCUUUUAGCAUCUCUCGACGGAUCUCAUCAAUCCCUGGGGCUUUGCCACUUGGGAGUUGUUUUGACUACCUCAGUGACCUCAAUCACGCAAGAGGGCGUAGUAAUUCAGAAGUUCCUCAAAGUGUUCCUUACACCGGCCGAUAACCUCCUCAGUUGCGGUCAACAGAAUCCCAUCCUUACUCUACAGAGCUUGGAUGGUUCCCCGUUUCCCCUUCCUGAGGUCUACCGAAAGUCCUUCUCCAUAGUUACCCCAAACUCCUCCCAUACUCGCUGCUUUGCCUCCAUCAAUUCAGCAAUGGAAGUUUUGAACAUACACCACUCUGGUUCAAUGUCCCCUAAUUCCACAGGAAUGUGAGAGAAGCUCCGCUGGAGGUGUGAGUUGAAAAUCUUUUGGACCGGGGCCUCCUCCAGACGUUCCCAGUUCACCCGCACUACACGCUUGGGUUUACCAGGUCUGUCCUGAGUCUUCCCCCAUCCUCUGACCCACCUCACCACCAGAGGGUGAUCUGUUGACAGCUCUGCCCCUCUCAUUACCCGAGUGUCCAGAACAUGCAGCCUCAGAUCAGACGAUAAGAACAACAAGAACAAAAUCGAUCAUCGAUCUUUGACAUGUGUUCUAGUACCACGUACACAUAACAUCCUUAUGCCAUUCCCCUCAAUCACGCCUCUCCAGUGAUCUCCAUUGUCUCCCACGUGUGCAUUGAAGUUUCCCAGUAGGGCUAUAGAGUCCCCUACAGGACUCCUUUCAGGGUCUCCAAAAAGGCAGAAUACUCCAAACUGCUGUGUGGUGCAAAUGCACAGACAACAGUCUUUUGUCUAGAGUUUUCCAGCCUGUGGUGUAUGCUGAAAGAAGUGUUGAGAAUAUUCGAAAAACCCGUGCAAUUAUUUUCAAAGAUUUGUACUUUAAUUAAUGUUAAUUAAUUGAGUUUGUAAAUAUCCUGUAUUUUUGUGCAUGAGCAUUUCUGUAUGCUUGUUCAGUUGUCUGCAUCCUUAUCUUUCCAUCUCUCUUCAGGCAUCCUUUACUCUGGUUUAAAAAGAUAUUAAAAACUGCCGAUUCCCUAAGGGUUUCCGAACUGUGCAUCUAAUGCAAAUGAGCCACAUCCAGUUAAAGUGAGAUAACAGCAUUAACAGACAAAAUCAGAAUUUUAAAGACAAAAUCCCUUAAUUUGCUUUAUGCUCCAACACAACGAAGUCUAAAACAACGUUGCAACAUUAUCAGUUUUUUAGCUCUUAAUGUGUAUCAAUCUCUGGUUGUGCUACAACCUGAAAACAAUGCAUAUUUACCUGCUAUGUAAUUUGUUGUAUUUGAAAAUAUAAUAUUUUUUUUGUUAUUUCUCCUAUGUUUGUGCUCACAUACAACAUAUCUCUUUCAAUAAACUUUGGUUUUAUACAGGAAAAAUACAAGUGCAAUGUAACAUUAUGGUAAAAUUGACUAUAUAAACCAAAAAUGUUGUAAAACUUAAUUUUAUUUACAUUGUACCUGAGGAGAUAACACAACUUUGGGGAUUUUGGAAAUGGUUGUUUUUUCUUCAGGAUCAUUUAGACCUCAAGCAAUAGACAUUUGACCUCUUUAAAAUAAUGUUAAUAAAAACUAACCUUGUCAAAUCUGUUUCACUGCCAGAUAUCUCACCUGCUCCUGCGCGUCCAUCAUAAGCUGACAAACACAGUCAAACUCCUCUUUUCUUUAAAUAUAGAUGUUUCAAAGCAAAAUAACAAAACAAAACAGUUAUGGUAAGUGACAAUGAGACAUAGUUUAUGUGGCGCGGAUAUUAAUAAAUUUAGCCUCUUGAUAACCAGGGACUCAAAAUUCUAUUUUCUCAUCUGGUCAUCCUCAGCUCUAUGUUUUACAAAAUUAACAAUUACAAACACCAGGAAGGUGUAAUAUUGUGAUUUAAUGAGAGAAAAACUACAUUCACAACUUCUCAUUAAAUAUAUUUUGCCUCGUUUGAAUAUGACCAAGGGCGGCACGGUGGUGUGGUGGUUAGCACUGUCGCCUCACAGCAAGAAGGUCCUGGGUUCAACUCUGCCCAGUGGCCUUUCUGUGUGCAGUCUGUAUGUUCUCCCUGUGUCUGCGUGGGUUCUCUCCGGGAUCUCCGGCUUCCUCUAAAUUGCCCAUAGGUGUGUGAAUGGUUGUAUGUCUCUGUGUUAGCCCUGCGAUUGGCUGGCGACUGAUCUAAGGUGUACCCUGUCUCUCGCCCGAACUUGGUUGGGAUAGACUCCAGCCCCCCCGCGACCCUGUGUGCAGGAUAAGCGUUUUGACGAUGGAUGAAUAUAACCAAAUUAAACAUAUCAUCAGCCUAUUUUUCUGCUUGUGUUAGAAAUGGCUUUGCUGCAGGAUCAGCUACUUAAGCUUUCUGAAAAAUGUCACAAGCCCUCUUUUUUGUCUCCCAUGUCUGACUUACACUGUGCUAGGAAUAACAGAUGAAAAGGGGAGCAGCCAUCUGAUAGAAGUGAAAUCUCAGGGCAUGAGAUCAUUUAAUGCUUUGCUGUCUCUACUGCAGCGGAAUAAUGAUCAAACACCCACAGAUGUGAAGUACAGUACAUUAAAGCAUGCACACGUGCAUGUGUAAAUAUCGAGGACAGCCGUUAACACUGCAUCUGCUGAGAAGUAUUCAUAAAAAGUUUAAUCGAGGCUGCCACAUAUGAAAAUAGGCAGUUCUGAACCAUGGUGGGUGUCAACUGUGCUGCUUCUCUGUGAAACAACUACCAUUGUGCAAGGAUAGCUUCCUCUAGAUAAGUGCAAAUGCGAAUCAAGUACAUUCAAAUUUUAUUCAGACAGAGAACAAGACAAGCGGAACACUCCGAUCAAGAGCACACACACACCUUUUGCAAUCCCAUUUCUGUGUUGAUCAACGUCUGUGCUCUGCAGGCUCACACCCACCCUCUUACACUAUCUGCAGACUUCACAAUAUAAUUGAUGUCUGAACACCCCCAUAUAGUAUCUCUCCUUCUCUCUUCCCUCUCCCACUUACUCAUAUAAUCUCUACCUACCUCCCCAUCGCAGGUAUUUCCACCCACCCAGACCUUUGGAUCCACAAGAGGCUGCUAUUGCUCAUGGAUGACCUAAAUUCCACACAAGCACACGUAAGGUCAGCUACUUGUUUUUUAACUUAGGCAGUUGUAUUGCCCUUACUUUGAGUGAUGUUACAUCAAUAUUCCGUGGAAAAACAUACAACUUUUAAGCACUUUUUAAAAGCAAUGCAGCAGAUCAAAAGUUAAAACUGGCAUCCAUUUAAAACUUCCUGUUGUUGUUUGGAUAACAGUUAUGAAGUGGUAUGAAUAUAGACCGGGUCCCUCAGGGUUGUAUCAUAGUGUGUGUGGGAAGAUAAAGUUGUUGUGUAAGUGUUAAUGUGUGUGUUUAUAAUUGUUGGCAUAUUAGAAGCUAAUCAGCGACCAUGUGCAAGUCAGUGUUUAGGGGUGUCAAAUUCAUAGCAAAAGGAAAAUCGGCUUUUAUAGUCUCUCGCUCUUAUCAUAGAGUGAUCAAUAACCAAUUAUUUAACACAUACGCUACAUUUGUUCAUAAGGGUUUGUACACAUAUAUUGUCAUGAUUGUUGCUUAGAUGCAUUUCAGUGGAUGGCUCUUUUUUUUGUUUUUCCUUUUCCAAAUUGAGAUUCCAAGGAUUAAGUUAAGAUGUUGUAUGUUUUAAAGAAAAUAAAGCCCUUUAAGGGAAAUCUGUGAUCAAUGACUGAACUAAAUUUGUCUUAACUUGCCUCAUUAUUUGGUGCAUCAUAAGCAUGAAUAAGCCAUUUGGAGCAUUUACCUCAGCGUAGUUGUGGUGCUCGAGUAAGAGAAUUUCAUAUUUUCAUUUAAUUUGACGAUCUGUAAUAUCCGUUGCAGAAGUUGUUUUAGUCCGGCAAAAAGUAGCUGCUGUGAAUGUGGUUUGUUUUUCAGGGCACAAGUAAGAUGAAUGAAUGCUGAAUACAAUUUUUGGUGGACGUUAUUGGUAAUUAUUGGUAAAUUGAUGACGGUGUCAUGGCAUACAUGAAAUUAGUGGUAUGUUAUUUUUCAUUGACAAUUUUAAUAUCCGUUCAGCAUCUGGACUGUACUGAUUGAUUACCGAGCUCCAUACACACACAAGACAUUAUCCCUAACAGGGGCACAAUGCGCAGCAGGACUGUCUCCAUUGAUCGGGCCUGUGGCAAGGCUUUUAAUAACAUCUAAGACAGAGACAAAGCGAAAGCUGAACCGUGCAAACAGAAAUAGCUCUCAUGAGAUGCUGCUCAAAGGUUAAGCUGAUGGUUUGCAGACACGUUGCAACACCCUGAGACCAUUUUUUUUAUCAUCACAAAAAAUAUGUAUUGCUAUAAUUCAAUAAAUAGUAAAGUAAUAGAAAACAUAAUAUUAUCAGUAUGUGUGUUAUUCUACUGAACAAUAAAUCUUCUCUAGUUGUUUGUCCUCUGGAAGGUGAAGAAGAGGAUUCAUUUUUCAUUUCUACAGCACAUUAAAGUAUUUCCACCUCGAUCAACAUGUCUGUUCGAUACUAUUCCCCCGUGUUGACAGGAGGAAAUGAUUGCCAAAAAUACACAUCUUUGAAGCCUGAGUGGGGUAUGUAGUAUUCCCGCAAAAGAGUGUAGACAAGUGUGGUGCUGAGUGCACGCCACAUAUCUCAUAAAUUUGAUCUGAAAGACAACAUAAACAAAUCCAGAAUAUUUUGUUUUGGUUUUGGACCUGCAGCUCUUACACAAGAUCAAAACCCAAUUCAUUAAGCUUUCUGUUUGUACACACUUUUUUGAAUUGGCAACAGUGUUGCAUAUCAAGUGCUUUCAUUACUUGUUAUGCUGGAACUAGAUCCCUGGAGCAAGCUUUUCCAUAUCUGGGAAAAAAGGUAACAGGAUUUGCUUUUAUCUGAGAAAACAGCCAACUGCUCGCCGCUGUACACUGUCACCUAAUCAUCCAACUGAAGGCAAACGUUGUUGUGAAAAAUGUUAUGGAUAACCAGUAUUUGUAUUUGUGUACGGGGUGCUUUUUGUUAUUAUAAUGAGAAUUCUGUUUGCAGUUCUUGGUUACUUGUUUUUUUGAUUGCCCACCUACUCCUGUCCUGAAACAGGGUGACUAUUACAUUACAUUACAUUACAUUACAGGUCAUUUAGCAGACGCUUUUUUAUCCAAAGCGACUUACAUUACACUUUAAACCCAUGGCUUUUUUACAUUUGGCCCAGGGAGCAAUUAGGGGUUAGGUGUCUUGCUCAGGGACACUUCGACUUGAGACAUGGGGCAGACGGGAAUUUUAUUAUUGCUGUCAAGCCCUGCAGUAAACACUUUAAUUUAGAUAAGGGGGCUUUGUAGUUAGUUUUUAUAUUUUUAAUACUCUAGCACUAUUAUAUAAUAUAUUACAUAAUCCCAAUAUCCAAAAGAUUCACAAUAACAGUCUUUUCCUUUGGAAGUUCCCUCACUAUCACAAAUAAGCCAACUUUACACCUCUCACUGAUG